GAGAGUUGCUCGUUUAAAAGAAAAUGGUGGGUUUAAUAACUCACUAUUUUACUUCCAAAAUACCAAUCCUAAUAAUGUUUAUUUUUCCUUCUCUCCUAACUUUACUUUGACGUUUCUCUCUCCUUCACAUUUCUUCCAUUCUUUAACUCUUCUUGCUCGACUUUCUCUUGCAUGAAAUUUUUGCUUGAGAUCUACUUUUUUGAUUAUAUCUUUGUCGUUCCUCAAUCCAUUCUUGGUGUUUUGGUUUUUAGUCACUUAAAACCUAAUCAAAAUGGCCCAAAAUAAUUACACAUUUCCACAAUCCAUUCACAAUUAGUUUGAGAUUCAUUAAUUUUACGUUUGGAGUAAAUUUUCUUGUCAUCCAAUCUUUAUCAAUAAAUUUUCAUGAAGUAUUUGUAAUAAAUCGCAAUUGUGCAUUAUUGCUAUUUACAUUUCUUUUUUUUUUUUUUUUUGCACAUGUACUUGGACAUUUGUUGAGGACAUUAUAGGAAUGAAAUAAAUUUACAUAUUUUGACUUCUAUUAA